UACGUAGGUGGCGAGCGUUGUCCGGAAUUACUGGGUGUAAAGGGCGCGUAGGCGGGGGAGUAAGUCAGAUGUGAAAUUCCAUGGCUCAACUGUGGGACUGCAACUGAAACUACUUAUCUUGAGUGCUGGAGAGGAAAGCGGAAUUCCUAGUGUAGCGGUGAAAUGCGUAGAUAUUAGGAGGAACACCAGUGGCGAAGGCGGCUUUCUGGACAGUAACUGACGCUGAGGCGCGAAAGCGUGGGUAGCAAACAGG
rnacentral:rRNA from 1 species